AGCAGCCUUAUAAAUAUGGUAGGGCCUGUUGCUACAUCACCCGUUAUAACAGGCUGUUCUACCCGUGAAACAGAGCAUAGUGCCACCCAAAAAAGGGCUCGUGCGACACCUGGAAAAAAAACAGCAAAAAGGCUUUUUGCGGAUGAGGAUGCCAAGAAAGAUGAUAAGGAUUAUUCUUCAGCUGCCACUUCUGAGACUAGAUCAGUUGAAGAAGAUGCUUAAUCGUAGGAUAUAAGACGCAUGAUCUGCUUUUGUGUAUGUCGGAGGGAUGUACAGGAGAUGUGUUCGUCAGUUGUUGAGUUUGGCAUCGAACUGCUAAUGUUCAACAAAUUGGCCAUUAUGAUGAUCGUUUGCAUUUUGAGAUAAUCAUAACUCUGGAUUGUAUAAUUUGCUCCUUCCUUUAUCAGCAUGACCUAAUUUACUGCACUGUUAGAUUAUUUUGGAUCAGCAUCCUAAUCUACCAACUAAAUGUUUGGUGGCCAUGAAUUAUGAUCUUUUCAUGUAAUAUAUUGCUGGACAGAACCUUAAUGGCUGCAGCGAAACUAAGAUGUGUAUUUGUAUUGUAAGUUGCGUGUGCUUUAAACAAAAAGAGAGUUGUCAUGUUAUUUGUCUUUA